rnacentral:rRNA from 1 species
AACGAACGCUGGCGGCAUGCCUAACACAUGCAAGUCGAACGAGACCUUCGGGUCUAGUGGCGCACGGGUGCGUAACGCGUGGGAACCUGCCCUUAGGUUCGGAAUAACUCCCGAAAGGGGUGCUAAUACCGGAUAAUGUCUUCGGACCAAAGAUUUAUCGCCUUUGGAUGGGGCCGCGUUGGAUUAGCUAGUUGGUAGGGUAAAAGCCUACCAAGGCGACGAUCCAUAGCUGGUCUGAGAGGAUGAUCAGCCACACUGGGACUGAGACACGGCCCAGACUCCUACGGGAGGCAGCAGUGGGGAAUAUUGGACAAUGGGCGAAAGCCUGAUCCAGCAAUGCCGCGUGAGUGAUGAAGGCCUUAGGGUUGUAAAGCUCUUUUACCCGGGAUGAUAAUGACAGUACCGGGAGAAUAAGCUCCGGCUAACUCCGUG